UACGUAGGGGGCAAGCGUUGUCCAGAAUCAUUGGGCGUAAAGCGCGUGUAGGCGGUUCGGUAAGUCUGCUGUGAAAGUCCAGGGCUCAACCCUGGGAUGCCGGUGGAUACUGUCGGACUAGAGUACGGAAGAGGCGAGUGGAAUUCCCGGUGUAGCGGUGAAAUGCGUAGAGAUCGGCAGGAACACCCAGGGGGAAACCAGCCGACUGGGCAUCUACUGACGGCUGAGGUGCGA
rnacentral:rRNA from 1 species